rnacentral:rRNA from 1 species
GACGAACGCUGGCGGCGUGCCUAAUACAUGCAAGUCGAACGCAGUGGGGACGGGUGAGUAACACGUGGGUAACCUCCCAUCAGAGGGGAUAACACGUGGAAACAGGUGCUAAACCGCUACUGAUGGAUGAACCCGCGGUGCAUUAGCUAGGGGGUGAGGUAACGGCUCACCAAGGCCACGAUGCAUAGCUGGCCUGGGAGGGUGACCGGCCACACUGGGACUGAGACACGGCCCAGACUCCUACGGGAGGCAGCAGUAGGGAAUCUUCGGCAAUGGGCGAAAGUCUGAUCGAGCAAGGCCGCGUGAGUGAAGAAGGUUUUCGGAUCGUAAAACUCUGUUGUUAGAGAAGCGGUAUCUAAAGAGAAAGCAACGGCUAACUACGUGCCAGCCGCCGCGGUAAUAC